rnacentral:rRNA from 1 species
ACGUAGGACGCAAGCGUUAUCCGGAAUUACUGGGCGUAAAGAGCGUGUAGGCGGUUCUGUAAGUCAACCGUGAAAGCUCCCGGCUAAACUGGGAGAGGUCGGAUGAGACUGCAGGACUAGAGGGUCGUAGAGGGGUGUGGAAUUCCGGGUGUAGUGGUGAAAUGCGUAGAGAUCCGGAGGAACACCAGAGGCGAAGGCGGCACCCUGGACGACACCAGACGCUGAGACGCGACAGCACGGGGAGCGAACGGGAUUAGAAACCCCGGUAGUCCGUGCCGUAAACGAUGUGUACUAGAUGUUCGGUUGACUACGGUUGAUUGAGCGUCGCAGCAAACGCGAUAAGUACACCGCCUGGGGAGUACGGUCGCAAGGCUA